GGACGACAUUCAAGAAGACCUUAAAUCUGGAAAUCCACUGGACAACGAAAACGGUAUAGCUCAUGAUGAGGUCAGUCGCGACGUGGAGCCGUUUGAAGAUACGCCUACGUCUGCUGCAUCAUUCCCUCACACCAGAGAACUCCUCGUUUACGGAAAUAUAGACAAUCUCGGCAUAAGAUAUGGAAAAACAAAUCAACGAGUAUUGUAUAGUCAGAGUAGAAGAAACACUAUACUGGAAACCCUACUAAGGCUGUUGGAACAACCGUCGUAUUCCCGAGACCGGAUUCAUAAUGAACCUCUUGUUGUG